ensembl:lincRNA
ACCAGACUGACAAAUGGAGUCAUGGUUCUGGGAAGGAGCAGAUCAAACUCCAAGCUGUGUUCAGAUGAAGGACAGUUGGCAUCAGUGAACUUUCUUUUUAUCCCUGCUUGCAACCCACUCCUGGUAGUCUGAGCUUGUCUAGGUUCUAAAUACUUUCUUACCUAUAAAUCACUGGACUAGUGUACUAUUCAUCAGGCUCUGGCUGUGCACACAAAUAUACACAUAUACACACACUUCACAGUUCCUGGACAACAUUCUCAAUCCAAUCAAAUGAUUCCUACUCUGAAAAAAAUAAAUCAUUUCUUUGAAAACA